UACAGAGGGUGCGAGCGUUGUUCGGAAUUAUUGGGCGUAAAGGGCGCGUAGGCGGUGCGGUAAGUCACCUGUGAAAUCUCCUGGCUCAACUGGGAGCUUGCAGGCGAAACUGCCGUGCUGGAGUGUGGGAGAGGUGCGUGGAAUUCCUGGUGUAGCGGUGAAAUUCGUAGAUAUUCGGAAGAACACCAGUGGCGAAGGCGACUCACUGGACACGUAUUGACGCUGAGGUGCGAAAGCGUGGGGAGUAAACAGG
rnacentral:rRNA from 1 species